GAACACCAAACUCAGCUACUGACGGUUGUGUUUUUAUUAUUGUUUCUUUAUAACGGUGAAAGAAGUUCACGGUCGGGGCUGCCUUGGAUUUAAUGAUGCCGUGUUGUCUUAGAUUUGGAAUAACAUUGCUGUUAGCAGUGUUAGUCACUGAAGUUUGGACGCAGAACCCGCCUCUAGGGUCGGUGAGGACAGAAUGUCAAGGGAUCGUUAUGAUGAUGUUGGAUAAGUCUUUUGUUGGAAAGUAUUUUCGUAUCAAUGUGAUUGACAAUAAGGGGGCGCUUGUGUCCCUCUCUCCAAGACUGGCUGCUCAGUGUGGAUAUAGCUUAACUGUUGACUUCUUGGGAAAUGCCAAGGUCCUUGCUUCUGUGCUGAGUUGCUUUGCUCAGAACACAAAUGAGACGUACAAAUCAGUGUCUUCUCAAACAGUGCUAUGACUUCAGCUUCCUCCUAUGUUCAGAGCAUGACAUGCCGCUAUUCUCCAUGGGUGGAGAGGGAGAUUCUGUGUGAAAGAAACUACAUGGAGGUUUCUGUGAGAAGAGGUGUGCCACUUAUUGAGCCAAACUUUGUUCAAGAUGAUCCUGAUUGGUCCCUUGCAUACCCUGAGGCAACUGCUGCUGACAACAGCAUCUGGAAAAUUGUGUUCCAUCUCCCAGCAAAUAGAAAGACAACUAUGACUGUUGCUCAGGCCAUGACAAAUGGCUAUGGCAUAAACACUACACCAACUUGAAUUCUGGUUAGAGCUGCAUACAACUCCACAGAAAGCCAGCCUCAGGUGAUCCAAACUGUACCAAUGGCUGUGCUAAGGUCAACCACCUUUUAUAAGCAAAGAUGGAUGGUCAUGAUGGUGGACACUGCAGUUACAUGUCCUACUGAUGGAACAGCCUUCACAGAACAGAUGAUUACAUGGAAUGUUCCCCGUGUUCUACCUCCUCUUGUUCCGACACAACAAAUUACUACCCUUGAUGUUCAAAUGGGAGUUGAUGGCCGCAAGCUUGACCCUGCAACGAUUCAUAAUGGAGAUUAUAAACUGGAUGUCGGUCCCCAGCUAAUCACUGUAAAAAUUCCUGUGGGAGCUGAUGGUGGAUAUUACAAGAGCCAUGUAUUGGACAACACCUAUGUGAUCUCUUACUCUAUUGAACCAAUGCUGGAGCAUACCUGGCAAGAUGGGCCUGAGAAGACCAAGUACACAGUACUUCAUCCAAUAACCACUCCUUUCAUGCCUCGGCCACCAGUUGUCA